UAAAUGAAUAUUCUAUCUCUAACUUUCCUCCAUCACCUCCUUUAUGCUAAGGUUGAAUUUUAUGCAUCAAGAGAGGGUGUUUUCAUGUAUCUGCAGAAGCUCUCUGCAGCAAGUACAAUACAAUCUUGAUUUUCUACAGAGCCGUAUAAAGCAAGAAGUGAAUAUGAAAAUAAUGAAAAAAGAGAUUGAUGCAAUCAACUGAUUUUUGAGGAGGAAAAUCAUACAUUUUCCCCAGAUUUGUCAUUCAAAAUUCAUAAUCGGUUCCUAUGACUGAACUGUAGGGAGCUUACAAAAGGAGGUAAUAGCAAUGGUGGGGUUAUUACAUUUAUUUCUUGAAUAUAAGAGGGGGCAAAGAGGUGUCUUCUAUCUUUCUUUACUUUCUACAAAAUCCACCUAACACUAUAGGACCAGACUUUUUGCAACAUAAAGGCUUGUCUGGUCCUACAGUAUCUGUGCUUCUUGGAAAGUUCAUGUGCCCUCAGCAACAAUUAAACAAUUUAGAAAAUAUUGUAACUCCCAGCUGCCCUUCACCCAGAUAUCUUUUGGGGGAAGACUAAAAUUUGCUACUUUGACUUCUCUGUGAAAAUUUGCCUCUUUAACGUUCUUUGGGAAUGAAGCACAAAUAUCCAUAUAUUGUAAAUAAAUACUGCAAAUACCUAAAUGUAUAAAAAAUGAUAUUGGUCUUUCUCAUAUUUAAACAUUAAAAUAUUUGUGGUCUCUGUAAAGCUUUUUGAUUGUGUCUGUUGUCACUAGCAGAAGUUAGUGUAAUGUUUGGCACUGUUCAACAAUAAUAGUACUGUAGCAGAAAAACUGUGACAGGUUCUUGGUCAACAGCUUUUGGGAGAAGCUGCAUCUUCCAUCAUCUUGAGUGACAAGACAGGUUACCUUGCAUUCUGUUCAGAGAAACACUAAGUGAUUUAAGAGCACAUUCAUUUUGGCAGCUGCUCUAAUUGAGGCCCAUCUGCUUGGAAGUAUGAGACAGGAAACUGAGAUGGAGGGAUGCGGGUGAAAUCCUGAGCAACUAUACAGUCUUCAUUCAUCAAAGUACCACAGGAAAGUGAUAGAAGCUUUGGCACCAGCUGUCAGGACCUGAAAUAUAGUUGACAUCUAAAGUGAAUUGGAUCAAUUUGUUCACAUUCCUUUGGGACCAUCACUAUUGUUGGGGUCACUUCACUUAAUGAAGUCCAGAGGGAUUUGGGCCAAAGCCCAUUGCAGUAAAUAAAAUCUGACUGUAUCCUAUCUCUGCUUGCAUUGGAAUAUAAUGAUCCAGAGGAGCAGAAAUAAUUAUAUUGAUACCUAUUGUCCAACUUACAUAUAUAUGUUUAGAGUGUAGCAGAGAUGGGCAAUAUUUUGGCAGUUGGAAGUUCUUGCAUUUUGAGAGGUGGACAGGAGAAAGCAAUGGGUAAGGUAGUGACAGGAUGACAUCAAUCACUGGGCAUUCCUGGUGUUUUCACUUCUCUCUUUUCAGUCCUUUCUUUUAGCUUCUCCUUCUUCCUGAUCACAGUAGAAAGUUACACUGUACAACUUGAGUGAUUUUAGGAGCAACAGAAACAGAUAAUGGGCUGUCCAUGCUGGAUCUCUAGGAAUAUCCAGGGAAUAGCCUGUAUUGAUUGCAUCAGUUGAUUCUUUUCAUUUCACUAGAUUCAUGGGCUGCUUUUUGUUUUGUUUUCUUUGUUUUUUGAGUGGGCUUUUCUUUGACUCUGCAUUUUUAGAUUGUUCAAACCCGAGUCUACAAGCAUCUUUCCAUCACCAAAAAGAGAUUCUUAUCUUUCAGACAGGUAGCAUAUGAAUUUCACAGGAGGAUAGAAUUAUUAGAUACAGACAUGAAACAAAUACAACUCAUAUCUAUCUUUCUCAAAUAAGCAUUCGAGAUCUGAAACUAAAUACAAUCCUAGCACAUAACUAGCUAGCUUCCAGUUCUUUGUGUACAUUCAAUCAUCCUGAUAUCGUGUUGCUCUGUUUUGAAAAAUAUAGGCUUUGCCUGAAUUGUUCACCUCUUGUGUUUACAGUGGGGAUACAAUCUGAAUUGGUCUCUCCACACAUCAUCCUUAGUGAAGCGUGCAAGCCAGCGUCUGCAUUUUCUGCAUCAGAUGAGGAGAGUACAUCUUUCUCCUUCUGUCCUGGCCCCUUUUUACAGAGAAAAGCAUCAAAUGAGUGACAGGACAAUGGUGGCUGUUGCUGAGAAAGAGAGAAGAAUACAGCAUUCUGCUCCAGGAAUUUCCAGAAGGGAUAUGGCAGAAGAGCCUGUCUUGCCUACUCAGGACAGUGUUUUAUAGAAUGCAUGGAACGGUGUUCCGUCACCUUCUUUUGAAGGAAAGAACUGGCUCCUUCUAAGCUGCCAGUGCGAGUAAAGCUUUGGCUCGGUGAAAGAAAGCUGCCCAGGGAAAUUGGGGGCAUCAAAGGUCAACCUGGAAACACUUCCAGAGCCCUGAAAGCAGACCCUCUUCUCUGCCUUGGUUCAUGGGGUUCCUCCCACUGCCGCCACCUGUCCUCACCCUCGUGUUGGCCACCAGGGACCAGGACUGAUUCCUGGAGUGAAUCUCUUAGAGGGUCCAGGUGCACUCCCAAAGCAGCAGCACCGCCACCGCCUUGGUCACUCUGGCUCCGGAUAAAGCCUCUGUGUCAUCAGAGGGGGAGGGGGACAAGGUGGCAGAAGACAUGCCAGCUCCAAACAAGCGCCCUCUCAAAAGCCGCGGUAAUGGCAUCCAUCAGCUGAUGCUGCUCACGUGAUCUGCACCUCGGAAGCUCCCUAAAGCGCUCCCCCCAUAAAGGGCUUUCGACUGGAGCUGGACCUGUGUGUGACUUCUGGCACCUUUUCUUUUUUUUUUAAGAAAAAAAGCACUAUCUAUAACUGUAUUAAAACAUCCAUGGUUUAUUGCCUAACAAAAACAUUUAUAAUUACUGUAAAUCAGCAGCUUUAAUUAUGUUAUUUAUCAAUCUUUUCUACUUCUGCAUGUAUUGAAUUUGUGAAUUCUCCUCAGGCGAGAUUUAAUUAACACCAGUAAGCUUCCUAUAUUUUAAUCAAAUUGUAUGCUUCUAACUGGAUUUUUUAAUCUACUUUUUUAUUCUUUUAAUAAAAGAGAAGUAAGUAUGGGACUAGUUUAAUUUAUAGCUUCUCUCUCUCUCUUUCUGUCUCUCAAGGCAAGAGACAAUCGUGGCUUCUUUGAGCCAUUCUUUCUCAAUUUGUUUCCUACUCUCCCAUUAUCCUACUCUACUGAGGAAUGAGGAAAAAAAUACUCUGCAUCAAUUGUUACAGUUGUAGUAAGAACACAUACACACCUCCUUUUUACCAUGCCCCUCCCAAAUCACAAGAAUAAAACUCAGGAAAUAAAACUCAGGAAAAGAAAUACAGAAACAAUAUUUAUUCAUAAAACCCCUGGCUAUUGCAAAAAGUGGAAACAAUACAUCAAGCCUGUUGAUUCACAAAGAGAUAUAAUAGACAGACUAAAGAUAAGGGGGUAAAAUUAAUUCAUUUGGUUGACAGGAUUAAAACCUAAGGAAGUCAGUACUUUAGACCCAUUGCUAUCCUUUGCGAAACAAGCUAAACAAAUCUAAUAACAAAAGCAAACAAAGCAAGCCUUCAAAUAAUGAAAUGCUGUAAAACUGUAUAAAAAUCCUUGUACUCAUCAAAUCAAUUUGUCAGCUAUCUCAGAACUGCAUGCUGUUGCUGGUUUUUCCCAUCAAUAAACAGAA